rnacentral:lncRNA from 1 species
AGAGACAACAAUUUAACGUGGUUCAGUCCAACUGACCUACAUCCACGGAUGAGAAAAAAGAUCCACUAGUUGUAGAGAAUUACAAACUUACAUCAAAUCAUCAACCUCACUAAACAAUCAAUACUCAUAAGACACUCUCAAUCUCCUCUAGUCCUAUGAAGUAUUCUCAACCCAAACAAACACAAACUCAAACCCUUGUGCACCCUUUCAACAUAACCAAACACAUACCCAUAUGCUCCCAUACAUCAUACCUAUGUGGACCCUCUCAAUCUCCUCUAGUCCACUCACAAACAAAAAUACACACCCAUAAGACAUAGAGUCCCAAUACUCC